AUGCAGUCGAGGGGCAGCGGGGAGGUAGCAAUACCUUUGCCGGCGACCGGCGCACGGGUGAGUAACACGUAUGCAAUCCACCUGUAACAGGGGGAUAACCCGGAGAAAUCCGGACUAAUACCCCAUAAUAUGGGCUCUCCGCAUGGAGGGUUCAUUAAAGAGAGCAAUUUUGGUUACAGACGAGCAUGCGCUCCAUUAGCCAGUUGGCGGGGUAACGGCCCACCAAAGCGACGAUGGAUAGGGGUUCUGAGAGGAAGGUCCCCCACAUUGGAACUGAGACACGGUCCAAACUCCUACGGGAGGCAGCAGUGAGGAAUAUUGGUCAAUGGUCGGCAGACUGAACCAGCCAAGUCGCGUGAGGGAAGACGGCCCUACGGGUUGUAAACCUCUUUUGUCGGAGAGUAAAGUACGCUACGUGUAGCGUAUUGCAAGUAUCCGAAGAAAAAGCAUCGGCUAACUCCGUGCCAGCAGCCGCGGUAAUACGGAGGAUGCGAGCGUUAUCCGGAUUUAUUGGGUUUAAAGGGUGCGUAGGCGGCACGCCAAGUCAGCGGUGAAAUUUUCGGGCUCAACCCGGACUGUGCCGUUGAAACUGGCGAGCUAGAGUGCACAAGAGGCAGGCGGAAUGCGUGGUGUAGCGGUGAA
rnacentral:rRNA from 1 species